rnacentral:tRNA from 1 species
GACUGCGUAGCUCAGUUGGCAGAGCGUUGGGCUAGUAUUCCAAAGGUUGUAGGUUCGAUUCCCACUGUGGCCA